CUCUUUUUGAUUUUAAUUUAAAGUUUGGCCUGCCCACUGAAAUUUGAAGGGCCGCAGUAUUUUGACUGUGCAAAGGUAGCAUAAUCAUUAGUUUUUUAAUUGAAAGCUUGUAUGAAUGGUUUGAUGAGAAAAUUACUGUUUCAAUUUUAAUGUUAGAAUUUUAUUUUUAAGUUAAAAAGCUUAAAUUUAAUUUAAAGACGAGAAGACCCUAUAGAGUUUAACUAAAAAUUAAAUUAUUUAUUUUAGAAUUUUAUUUUAAUAAUUUAAUUUAAGUUAUGUUGGGGUGACAGAAAAAUUAAAUUAACUUUUUUUUUAUAAAAACAAUUAUAAUUGGGUGUUUGAUCCAUAAAAAUGAUUAAAAGAUUAAAUUACCUUAGGGAUAACAGCGUAAUCUUUUUAAUAGUACUUAUUGAAAAAAAGGUUUGCGACCUCGAUGUUGGAUUAAAAUUUAUUUUUGGUGUAGAAGCUAAAAUAUUAGGUCUGUUCGACCUUUAAAAUUUUACAUGAUCUGAGUUUAAACCGGUGUAAGCCAGGUUGGUUUCUAUCUUAAAUAUAAAAAAUAUUUUAGUACGAAAGGAUCAAAUAUUAUAUUAAUAAUAUUAAUUUAGAAUUUUAUUUUGGCAGAAUAGUGCAAAGGAUUUAGAAUCUUUAAAUGUAUUGAUAUACAGAUAAAAAUUGAUUUAUUGUUAAUAUUUUUUAAUUUUUUAAUUUUAUUAAUUAGAGUAUUAGUUGGUGUUGCGUUUUUAACAUUAUUAGAGCGUAAGUUAUU
rnacentral:rRNA from 1 species